UACGUAGGGGGCUAGCGUUGUCCGGAAUCAUUGGGCGUAAAGCGCGUGUAGGUGGUUUGAUAAGUCACUGUUGAAAGCUCCCGGCUAAACUGGGAGAGGUGCGGUGAGACUGUCAGGCUAGAGUAUGGGAGAGGGAUGCAGAAUUCCGGGUGUAGUGGUGAAAUGCGUAGAGAUCCGGAGGAAUACCAGAGGCGAAGGCGGCAUCCUGGCCUGUUACUGACACUGAGACGCGAAAGCAUGGGGAGCGAACGGG
rnacentral:rRNA from 1 species